rnacentral:rRNA from 1 species
UACGAAGGGGGCUAGCGUUGUUCGGAAUUACUGGGCGUAAAGCGCGCGCAGGUGGUCUUUCAAGUCAGUGGUGAAAGCCCGGAGCUCAACUCCGGAAAUGCCAUUGAAACUGUGAGACUUGAGGACGAGAGAGGUGAGUGGAAUUCCCAGUGUAGAGGUGAAAUUCGUAGAUAUUGGGAAGAACACCGGUGGCGAAGGCGGCUCACUGGCUCGUUUCUGACGCUCAGGCGCGACAGCGUGGGGACUCGAAACAGG